rnacentral:rRNA from 1 species
GACGAACGCUGGCGGCGUGCUUAACACAUGCAAGUCGAACGGAAAGGCCCUGCUUUUGUGGGGUGCUCGAGUGGCGAACGGGUGAGUAACACGUGAGUAACCUGCCCUUGACUUUGGGAUAACUUCAGGAAACUGGGGCUAAUACCGGAUAGGAGCUCCUGCUGCAUGGUGGGCGUUGGAAAGUUUCGGCGGUUGGGGAUGGACUCGCGGCUUAUCAGCUUGUUGGUGGGGUAGUGGCUUACCAAGGCUUUGACGGGUAGCCGGCCUGAGAGGGUGACCGGCCACAUUGGGACUGAGAUACGGCCCAGACUCCUACGGGAAGCAGCAGUGGGGAAUAUUGCACAAUGGGCGGAAGCCUGAUGCAGCAACGCCGCGUGCGGGAUGACGGCCUUCGGGUUGUAAACCGCUUUCGCCUGUGACGAAGCGGGAGUGACGGUAAUGAGUAAAGAAGCACCGGCUAACUACGUG